AAGAAAUUACCCACCCUUCUGACUGAGGUUUAAUAUCUAGAAAGGAGGGUUGAUCGUUGUUGGUGUAAGAAGUUAGAUCGGCCAUCAUUCAACCAACCAUCACAUUUUGAACCAGCACUAAACUAUACUGACCAACUACAACAGAGAAUCCUUAGCUUGGGGUUGCGAAGGAUUGGGGUUGUAUUAAAGGCUAAAGUUGGAUUUCGAGGGUAAAAAUGUUGCGGCCAUUAAACUAUCUAGGGUUUGGGGAGGCAGAGUCACUGGUUUGUUCUAUUGUGAGUUGCUCUCUCGUGUGGUCAAGUGAAAGAUAAAGUGGCUCAUUGAAAGACGAAGCCACAAAUUGCAGUAUUAAGAAAGAAAUUACCCA